rnacentral:rRNA from 1 species
GCGGGGUUUCCUAACAAAUGCAAAGUCGAACGGGCUCUUCGGAGCUAGUGGCGGACGGGUGAGUAACGCGUGAGAAUCUGCCUACAGGAGGGGGACAACCACUGGAAACGGUGGCUAAUACCCCAUAAGCCGAGAGGUAAAAAGGAAUCCGCCUGUAGAGGAGCUCGCGUCUGAUUAGCUAGUAGGUGAGGUAAGAGCUUACCUAGGCGACGAUCAGUAGCUGGUCUGAGAGGAUGAGCAGCCACACUGGGACUGAGACACGGCCCAGACUCCUACGGGAGGCAGCAGUGGGGAAUUUUCCGCAAUGGGCGAAAGCCUGACGGAGCCAGACCGCGUGAGGGAAGAAGGCCUUUGGGUUGUAAACCUCUUUUCUCAGGGAAGAAGAAAGUGACGGUACCUGAGGAAUCAGCCUCGGCUAACUCCGUGCCAGCAGCCGCGGUAAUA